rnacentral:lncRNA from 1 species
UGUGGUGGGCUCCACCCAGUUCAAGCUUCCCAGGCUGCUUUGUUUACCUAAUCAAGCCUGGGUAAUGGCGGGCGCCCCUCCCCCAGCCUGGCUGCCGCCUCGCAGUUUGAUCUCAGACUGCUGUGCUAGCAAUCAGUGAGACUCCGUGGGCGUAGGACCCUCCGAGCCAGGUGUGGGAUAUAAUCUCGUGGUGCGCGGUUUUUUAAGCCCGUCGGAAAAGCGCAGUAUUCAGGUGGGAGUGACCCGAUUUUCCAGGUGCCGUCCGUCACCCCUUUCUUUGACUCAGAAAGGGAACUCCCUGACCCCUGGCGCUUCCCAAGUGAGGCAGUGCCUCGCCCUGCUUCGGCUCGCGCACGGUGCGCGCACCCACUGACCUGUGCCCACUGUCUGGCACUCCCUAGUGAGAUGAACCCGGUACCUCUGAUGGAAAUGGAGAAAUCACCCGUCUUCUGCGUUGCUCACGCUGGGAGCUGUAGACCGGAGCUGUUCCUAUUCGGCCAUCUUGCCAUUUUUCCUUUUUAUUUUGGGUCAUGCAAAGCGCCUACUCCCUUCUGAGAUGACUCCAGACAUUUUCGGGAUUCGUUGAGGAUAAGAAAAUUACAACUCACGUAGUUACCGGCUAAAGUCAGUGUGGAACUGAGAACAUGAAGCUAGGCCUCCUGAAAUCAGGUAUGGGUACUGCUUUACUCCCUGUCAUGAUGACUCCAUACCCUAGACUACCAUCUUUGGUGUUAAAAACACUACUGACAUUUGAGAAUCACUAAGUGUGGUAUUGUCUCUUCUUGUAUGAGGGUGAAUCUAUUAAAAUAUUCUUUAAGUUAUGCAGAAAAUUCUCUGCUAAUUACAUGUGUCCACUACAAUAGUGAUGGAUAUUUUGAUAUCAUAAAUAUUUUAAUCAUAUCAUUUUUUAAAAAGAGAGCUUGUUUGAUUUUUC